GGGUAUAUAGCUUAGUAGUGGAGCUCUUGCCUAGCCUGCAUGAAACGCUGGGUUUAAUUCCCAGUAUUACCG
rnacentral:tRNA from 1 species